AUGCAAAAUAGUUAAGUAAAUUCAGCUGAGAUAUGGUAUACAUGGAGUGGCUGGAAGAGUAGCCUCCACAGCUGUGUUACUUCUGCAGACUUGCCCUCCCACAACGACUUACCUGAUUAGACAUUUAAAUACAGCAACAUCUUUGGGAUAUGUUCGUUGGUAAAAUUUUCAAUACAUUUUUUUAAAAUUGAUUGACAGAAGGAAAUGAAUAAUUAACACAACAGUUCACGUAUCAGUCCAUAUCUCAGAACAUAAUAUACAAAAUGUAUACUCAUCAUGAAAGCCACUGAAGAAGACUAAAUGUCGAAAUGCAUUUGGCUAUGUUAUACAUUUUGCAUUCUAUGGGCAUUGACUUAAGUAUAUUGGCCACUGUUUAAAAGUUGCCCUUUAUGUUUAUAUUGAUAUUGUUUUGAUUAUACUGUAUAUUCUGUUCUUUAUUGUGUAUGGGCACUGAGUUGUUUACAAAAAGAUUUCUGGCCAUCUUUUUAUUACCAAUGAGAACAUUUAUAAGGAUUUUACAUUGAUUGUUUAUAUAUAUAUAUAUAUAUAAUGUUUGAUAUUAUUUUAUAAAACUGCAUUUUAUGAUUGUACCUUAACUUCUUUUGGAGCACUCUCCACUUUAUCUUCACAACAACCCAGAGAAGUAGGCUAAGUUGAGAAAUGGUGACUGGCCUGAAUCUCUCUGGUCCUAGUUCAACAUACUUAACUACUACAUCAUUCUGGCUUGCACAUAUUUACUGUACAACCUUCUGAAAACUGAAACCAGACAUUAAAUAUUAAAAAAAACUCUCAAGAGUACAGGUACGGUUGCCAAUUUAUAAUCUAGAUGAGCUAGUAAGAUUUUUUAAAGUGCCAACAUACUGGGGCACAGUAUCUUGUGCUCCAUUGUACCUGCUCCUUCAGUAGCCUCAAGGGUUUCAGUUGUAACCUACAGCAAACAGAAGACGAGGAAAUGGCCUGGACCCAGCUUAUCUUUCAGGACACCCAUGCCCUUUGAAGUUGUUUGUCUAGAUCUUCAUGGGAGACACCACUCUGUAAUCCAUUAGUGUGGUAGAGGCAUGUGCUAGGGUCUUCCUUGUUAUAACACAUCUUCUGGAAAUCUGAUCCCACGUCUCCCUCCUUCAAUACAAUGCUCUGCAUGUAAAUUACUCUUGGCUUAAUUUUACUUUAUUUUGUUUUUUAAGUUGCCUUACUGUAAGGUGCCCCUAGCAAGGGCGCUUUGGAAAAGAGAAUACAUGUCAAAAUAAAAGUGAAUCUCUUCUAACCCUAAACUCAGGGGCUCUGAAAGCCUGCACAAGCUUAUUUGCCUGGCAUGCAUUACUUUGCUGCAAAUAAAUGUUAAGACGGCAUGGGCUUGGAAAUAU